rnacentral:RNase_P_RNA from 1 species
CCCCAGGGCAUGGCACGGGGAGGAGGACAGGGGACAACGUCCCGGUAAGGGUGAAAGGGUGCGGUAAGAGCGCACCGGCAUUCCCGGUAACGGGGGUGGCCAGGUAAACCCCACUCGGAGCAAGACCAAGCACAAGAGCGUUUGAGGGCGGCCCGCCCGAGCUCUGGGGUAGGUUGCUCGAGGCCGUCGGUAACGGCGGUCCUAGAUGAAUGACUCGCACCACUGUCAGGGCAACCCGACAGAGGUACAGAACUCGGCUUAUGGUCUCCUCAAACAC